UAUAUUUAAUUUCUUGAAUGGUGAAUGCUAAAAUUUGAGAAGCAACGCACAUGAUUGUUCCAAGGUCGGUUCCGCCCCAUCACACUAUGAGAGCUGGUCAUGCCCAAAGUUGUUACCUUAACGGCAAAGAAGGGGGUGUCAAAGGCAGGGCUAGUGAUUGGAGUGAAGUCGUAAUAAGGUAGUUGUAUUUGAAGGUGCGGCUGGAUCACCUCCUUU
rnacentral:ncRNA from 1 species